GCUGGCAGUGCCAGGACUGAAGGUUCACAGACGACCGUCCACCAGGAGGAGAGCCCCUGUGAGGCCGAGGGCACCCCUGAAGAGGAGACCUGCCCGUGGGUCCCCAUCUGUCACCCCUGCCCUCGCUGCUCUCAGCUGCCCGACACCACUCACCGUGCCUCCCGUUCAGAUGCGUGACCUCCACCACACUGAAGCCGACUUCAC
rnacentral:lncRNA from 1 species